rnacentral:rRNA from 1 species
UUCCCCCCGGCAACGGGACACCGCGGGAAACCGCGGCUGAUACCGGGUACUCCGGGGCCCCCGCAUGGGGGCCCCGGGAAAGCUCCGGCGGCGGGGGAUGGGGUCGCGUCCCAUCAGGUAGUAGGCGGGGCAACGGCCCACCUAGCCGACGACGGGUAGCCGGGUUGAGAGACCGACCGGCCACAUUGGGACUGAGAUACGGCCCAGACUCCUACGGGAGGCAGCAGUGGGGAAUUUUGCGCAAUGGGGGCAACCCUGACGCAGCAACGCCGCGUGCGGGACGACGGCCUUCGGGUUGUAAACCGCUUUCAGCAGGGAAGAACCUUGACGGUACCUGCAGAAGAAGCCCCGGCUAACUACGUGCCAGCAGCCGCGGUAAUACGUAGGGGGCGAGCGUUAUCCGGAAUGAUUGGGCGUAAAGCGCGCGCAGGCGGCCGCUCAAGCGGGACCUCUAACCCCGGGGCUCAACCCCGGGCCGGGUCCCGAACUGGGCGGCUCGAGUGCGGUAGGGGAGAGCGGAAUUCCAAGUGUAGCGGUGAAAUGCGCAGAUAUUUGGAAGAACACCGAUGGCGAAGGCAGCUCUCUGGGCCGUCACUGACGCUGAGGCGCGAAAGCCGGGGGAGCGAACAGGAUUAGAUACCCUGGUAGUCCCGGCCGUAAACGAUGGGCGCUAGGUGUGGGGAAGCAUUUUCUCCGUGCCGCAG